rnacentral:rRNA from 1 species
UCGCCUCUUGUACCCUACAAAUAAGAGGUCCUGCCUGCCCUGUGACACAUAGUUUAACGGCCGCGGUAUUUUAACCGUGCGAAGGUAGCGUAAUCACUUGUCUUUUAAAUGAGGACCAGUAUGAAUGGCAAAACGAGGGCUUAACUGUCUCCCCCCUCCAGUCAAUGAAAUUGAUCUCCCCGUGAAGAAGCGGGGAUACACCCAUAAGACGAGAAGACCCUAUGGAGCUUUAGACACUAAGGCAGCUUACGUUAAAAAUCCUGCACCAAGGCCCUAAACUAAAUAAUUCCUGACCUGACGUCUUCGGUUGGGGCGACCGCGGGGGAAAGAAAAACCCCCACGAGGACUGGGAGUACCUCUCCUAUCACCCCGAGCUACCGCUCUAAUGUAUCAGAACCCUUCUGACCAUAAAUGAUCCGGCGCAAGCCGAUUAACGAAACAAGUUACCCUAGGGAUAACAGCGCAAUCCCCUUUUAGAGACCCUAUCGACAAGGGAGUUUACGACCUCGAUGUUGGAUCAGGACAUCCUAAUGGUGCACCCGCUAUUAAGGGUUCGUUUGUUCAACGAUUAAAGUC